CUGCCAGGUCGUCCGUCCUGUUAGAGAAUGAGCCCAGACAAUGCUCCUCACUCCUCUCUUCUGAAGGCAGCCAAAGCGCAGAUAGAAGUUUUUAUGAGCCAAGAAUUCAGGUGCAGUUUGACUGAUGCCUCUGUCUCAGGGCUCUUCAAAUCAGCAGGCCAAGUUGUCUUUGGAGGCUGUGAACAUCACAAGGUUUGGCUGAGGAAUGAGAGUUGUUCCCGAAUGGUGAACUAACUGUCUCAUGGGGGUCUGUGCAGCACUAUUUCAACUAGAGAGACGUGCUUGCUUCUUAGUGUGUUUUCUUAUCUGUUUUAUUCAUCCUGAUUAUUGCAUAUGGAUUUAAGAAUAAGCUUGUUUAACUCUGGAAGAAGGUAACCAGUCUAUUUAUUAGAAUUUCAGUGAAUUAGUAAAUCAGAUUAAGGUAUAUGCCUAUCCUGGUGAUGCUGAGAUAUUGAAUUAAGAGCAAAAAUGUUUUCUCCAUUUGUGCAAGCUCACAUCUACGUAUUAGGGAUGUUUUUCAUAUAUUUUGUAGAUAUUAUUCAUCAAAAAUUAUGCAAAAUUUGGGUUGGUAAGAUGGCUCAGUAGGUAAAGCCACUUGUCACCAAGCCUGCUAAUCUAAAUUCAAUCCCUGGGUCCUAUAUGAUGGAGGGAGAAAACUGAUUCCUAUAAGUUGUCUUUUGACCUCCAGACACAUACAAUAAAUAAGGAAGUAAAUAAAAAAUAAAUGUAAUAAAAAUU
rnacentral:lncRNA from 1 species